AACGAACGCUGGCGGCAGGCUUAACACAUGCAAGUCGAACGCAUCCUUCGGGGUGAGUGGCAGACGGGUGAGUAACGCGUGGGAACGUGCCCUUCAGUUCGGGAUAACCCAGGGAAACUUGGGCUAAUACCGGAUACGUGCGAGAGCAGAAAGAUUUAUCGCUGAAGGAUCGGCCCGCGUCUGAUCAGCUAGUUGGUGGGGUAAUGGCCCACCCAGGCGACGAUCAGUAGCUGGUCUGAGAGGAUGAUCAGCAACAGUGGGACUGAGACACGGCCCAAACGCCUACGGGAGGGAGCAGUGGGGAAUAUUGGACAAUGGGCGCAAGCCUGAACCAGCCAGGCCGCGUGAGUGAUAAAGGCCUUAGGGUUGUAAAGCUCUUUCGUCCGGGACGAUAAUGACGGUACCGGAAGAAGAAGCCCCGGCUAACUUCGUGCCAGCCGCCGCAGUAA
rnacentral:rRNA from 1 species